AAGCGCGCGUAGGCGGUUUUUUAAGUCUGAUGUGAAAGCCCACGGCUCAACCGUGGAGGGUCAUUGGAAACUGGAAAACUUGAGUGCAGAAGAGGAAAGUGGAAUUCCAUGUGUAGCGGUGAAAUGCGCAGAGAUAUGGAGGAACACCAGUGGCGAAGGCGACUUUCUGGUCUGUAACUGACGCUGAUGUGCGAAAGCGUGGGGAUCAAACAGGAUUAGAUACCCUGGUAGUCCACGCCGAAAACGAUGAGUGCUAAGUGUUAGGGGGUUUCCGCCCCUUAAUGCUGCAGCUAACGCAUUAAGGACUCCGCCCGGGGAGUACGACCGCAAGGUUGAAACUCAAGGAAUUGACGGGGACCCGCACAAGCGGUGGAGCAUGUGGUUUAGUU
rnacentral:rRNA from 1 species